AUUGAACGCUGGCGGCAGGCCUAACACAUGCAAGUCGAGCGGAUGAAGGGAGCUUGCUCCUGGAUUCAGCGGCGGACGGGUGAGUAAUGCCUAGGAAUCUGCCUGGUAGUGGGGGAUAACGUCCGGAAACGGGCGCUAAUACCGCAUACGUCCUGAGGGAGAAAGUGGGGGAUCUUCGGACCUCACGCUAUCAGAUGAGCCUAGGUCGGAUUAGUUAGUUGGUGGGGUAAGGGCCUACCAAGGCGACGAUCCGUAACUGGUCUGAGAGGAUGAUCAGUCACACUGGAACUGAGACACGGUCCAGACUCCUACGGGAGGCAGCAGUGGGGAAUAUUGGACAAAGGGCGAAAGCCUGAUCCAGCCAUGCCGCGUGUGUGAAGAAGGUCUUCGGAUUGUAAAGCACUUUAAGUUGGGAGGAAGGGCAGUAAGUUAAUACCUUGCUGUUUUGACGUUACCAACAGAAUAAGCACCGGCUAACUUCGUG
rnacentral:rRNA from 1 species